ACGGCUCAGUAACACGUGGAUAACCUGCCCUUGGGUCCGGCAUAACCCCGGGAAACUGGGGAUAAUUCCGGAUAACGCAUAUGUGCUGGAAUGCUUUAUGCGUCAAAUGGAUUCGUCCGCCCAAGGAUGGGUCUGCGGCCUAUCAGGUAGUAGUGGGUGUAAUGUACCUACUAGCCAGCGACGGGUACGGGUUGUGAGAGCAAGAGCCCGGAGAUGGAUUCUGAGACAUGAAUCCAGGCCCUACGGGGCGCAGCAGGCGCGAAAACUUUACAAUGCGGGAAACCGCGAUAAGGGGACACCGAGUGUCAGCAUCAUAUGCUGGCUGUCCAGGUGUGUAAAAUACACCUGUUAGCAAGGGCCGGGCAAGACCGGUGCCAGCCGCCGCGGUAACACCGGCGGCCCGAGUGGUGAUCGUGAUUAUUGGGUCUAAAGGGUCCGUAGCCGGUUUGGUCAGUCCUCCGGGAAAUCUGAUAGCUCAACUAUUAGGCUAUCGGGGGAUACUACCAGGCUUGGAACCGGGAGAGGUAAGAGGUACUACAGGGGUAGGAGUGAAAUCUUGUAAUCCCUGUGGGACCACCUGUGGCGAAGGCGUCUUACCAGAACGGGUUCGACGGUGAGGGACGAAAGCUGGGGGCACGAACCGGAUUAGAUACCCGGGUAGUCCCAGCCGUAAACGAUGCUCGCUAGGUGUCAGGCAUGGCGCGACCGUGUCUGGUGCCGCAGGGAAGCCGUGAAGCGAGCCACCUGGGAAGUACGGCCGCAAGGCUGAAACUUAAAGGAAUUGGCGGGGGAGA
rnacentral:rRNA from 1 species